UAGUAAGAUUGAAUAUCUCUACUUUCCAUAUAUACCACAAUUACCACCCUUUUAUUGGAAAUAACCACCCGAUAAAUACCUUUUCUGGGAACCCAUCUUUAACCAAUCUAUAUAAGUAUUUCCUGCUUAUAAACCUCCUCAUUAUCAAACAAGCUAUUAACCAGUCGUCAGUCUAUCAUCAGUCAAUGGAGAAGAUUAGAUGUGAUAAUACGUGGAAAUAUUGCCGACAACGUGUUAUUCUUCUACGUUAUAUUCUAUAAGUUAUAAUCAGAAAAAAUAUGGGCCAGGAUUCCAGCAAGCCCGGACCAAUGACAAUAGAAGAAUUAAAGGACUCGGGGGUACUUAGUUUAUCUGAUAUCGAUAAAUGGCUCGAUAAUUUCAUGCACACAAGUUGUCGUCGUGAUUAUUUUACUCAGAGUGAUUUGGUUAAACAGUAUCAGGAAUCUUUCACGAGCGGUGAUGCAGGUGCAUUUGCACGUGAUGUAUUUCGAACAAUGGAUCGCGAUUCCAACGGAAUGGUGGAUUUCAAAGAAUUUGUUUUAGCGAUGACAUGCCUGACUAGUGAUGAUGUUAAUAUGAAGAUAGAUUGGGCCUUCUGGUUCUAUGACGUCAAUAAAGAUGGUACAAUUUCGGGUGGCGAAUUAAAAAAAAUGCUUAGGAUAAUCUGUAAUGUAGAAUGUGGGAGCAAAUAUAAAGACAAAAAAGAAGUUGACAAAAUGGCAGAGUGCAUGAUGUCGUUAAUGGAUACCAAUAAGGAUGGCGCCAUAACUCUGUCAGAAUUUAAAGAAGGUUUCCAU